UGACCUCAAAUCANGUAGGACUACCCGCUGAACUUAAC
rnacentral:rRNA from 1 species